GGACCCAUAGUAUAGCUUGGAUAGCACAGGGGCCUCCGGAGCCUCGGACUCGGGUUCGAAUCCCGAUGGGUCCG
rnacentral:tRNA from 1 species